AAACCGAAAUAUCUAUCAUAUAUCUUUAAUUUCAACCCGUAAACGAUAUCGUAGAUUGAAAAACACAGUACAAUUGCUUUAUAAAUAUUUAUAUCGUAUUACAUAGCGACGGUUGGCUGCAUAUGCUCGGUUCAAAAACAAAAUAUUCUUUUCAGUUAGAUGUGUACGCAGUGAAAUUCGGCUCAAAUUUGGUAUCGGUGUAAUUAUUUCUCCAGGUUUCCCGUUGGUGUAAUACAGAUAUACCGUAUAUAUAGUCUGCAGAACCGCGAGACAGUCUGCAACCGCGCGGGCCAAUCGUUUCCUGUUUUAUAAACGUUGUACUGUUAUGAUAUUAUUUUAUUCCGGUCCGCGAAUUUCCCGGCUCGGAUUAUAUUAUUUUCGCUAUAUAAAUCGGACCGUCUUGAAAACGCGAAAAAUCCUCCGCAAUAAUCUCAUGGC